UUAGCUAUAAUACUAAUUUAAGAUGGUAUAAAAAUUUUACUUUUGUACUUUCAUCACACCCCCAACUAGCUUAUUGCUAGUCUCUAACAAUUUAGUGUGAAAAUGAUAAAAUGAGGGUGCAAAAGUAUUGUUUAUUUUAUUAAUAUAUAUCAAUAUGCAUGAAUUAAAAUAAAUACUCACUUUCGUAGAGUAUUACGAUUGCACUUAGCACGUGCAACAAGCCGUUAAACCCCUAAGUUACCCUAGUGGACGAGUGUUGUCUCGUGAGGGUUUGCAGUGAUGUUACCCACAAACAUCGUUUUUAAGUUAAAAGAUACUUUAAAACAUGGCAACCCUUAAGGAAAAUGUAAAUGUGACGUCUCAGAAUACCUAUACCUCCACCACAAUUGGGUACUCCUUGAGUUCUAGGUGCCCUACUCAAAUUCACAAGUGUUAACUAUCAUUUGUUAGCUUCCGACCCACUAAAUUUUUCGAAUAUCACAUAAUAUUUGCCCAGAAUGGUUCGCAUAUAAAACUGAAGCUAUCAAUCUCAACUAGGCAUCCCAGGUACACAGAGUUCUAAAACAAUGGAGUCAAACCAGUCAUCCACAUGUCACUUGAUUUUAGUUUAACUAACAC
rnacentral:lncRNA from 1 species